CUUUAGCAGCCUCAACAACAGUUAUUUGGAGGAAAGUGUGGUCUCUCUGAGGGCAGGGAUUCAACAUUUCUUCUCAAAGUUCCACGACCUUGGCUCUAAAGUGAAAACAGUCACCUUGUCUCCAGCAUCCUGUUGAAUAUUCCAGCUCCUACAUGAGCUUCAAUGGUAUACUGAAUCAUCAUCAUCAUCAUCAUCAUCAUCAUCAUCAUCAUCAUCAUCAUCAUUCUGCAAUCAGUCCACAUUGCCUAGCCUCCAAAAAAGACUAGACAUUGGAAAGAUUUAUAUAGAAAUACCAUUUUGCAUUAGGUUGAUCCAAAAGUAAUUGCGGUUAUUGCAUUGUUGAAAUUUGCUGUUUGAUAUUGGAAUACAAUCUUAAAUAAAUGUGAUUAUGUUA
rnacentral:lncRNA from 10 species